rnacentral:lncRNA from 1 species
CAGGAACACUGCUAAGCAGCCUGCAAGGCAUGAGAUGGUCCCCAGUAACAAAGAAAAGAUGGCCAGGUGGUAGUGGAGGGCGCUGGGACAUUGCGUAUAGACCAGGCUCUCCAGACCCACCUGGGGCAGCGGAGUCAGAAGCCCACAGGUGAACACCUGCUCAUCCCAGCCCCACACCCCCCGCAGGUGGAGAGAGGAAGGCUUCAUAAGGAGGUGGAGGCAAGCAGGCAAGCAUGGAUCUCAUCUGUCUGCCUGAGAGAAAGCCCAGAUCAGCACUGGGAGGGUCAGCCCACGUUCCUGAGCGAGUAAGGGGGUAGUCCUGGCCAGAACUCUGGAACCCCGGCUAGUUGCAGACCCCCCUCUUGCCCCACAGAUCAUCAUGGGAUUCCUGUCCAGCCUCUGGCCAUGAGGUGAUUUUUUUGGCUUCUAACGCCGAGGCUCACCUUGCCUUUCUCUCUCACUUGCCGCUCUCAUGCAGCCCCGCAUUGAAGAGCCAUCAGAAACCAAACCUUCCUGGUCCUGAGGGUGCCUGGGAAAGGGGCGGCCCUGCCCAUCUAGGUGGAGUUUGGGAUUGCUGCGUUCACCAUCUCCUUUGUGGAACACUGACAUCUCCCGAGACAGAGGCUUCCUGGCAUCACCAGGGACAUCUGGAGGGAAUCUUCCACCUGCCUCCUCCCAUCUGGUUCUGGGCUUGGCAGCCUGAGCAGGAGCCUUCAGCAUGGCUGGGCAGUGGCUUCCAUCUGCUGGGAUUCUCCUGGCUGGAUCACCAAUGA